rnacentral:rRNA from 1 species
AACGAACGCUGGCGGCGUGGAUAAGACAUGCAAGUCGAACGGGACAGACCGAGUAGCAAUAUUUGGAAUGUUCAGUGGCGAACGGGUGCGUAACACGUGGAUAACAUUCCGGAAAGCGGGGAAUAGCCCAGGGAAACUUGGAUUGAUACCGCAUGUGGCCGCAAGGCUAAAGACGGGGACCGCAAGGCCUGUCACUUUCCGAUUGGUCCGCGGCCGAUCAGCAAGUUGGCGGGGUAAUGGCCCACCAAGGCUACGACGGGUAGCUGGUCUUAGAGGACGACCAGCCACCCUGGAACUGAGACACGGUCCAGACACCUACGGGUGGCAGCAGUCGAGAAUCUUUCACAAUGGGGGCAACCCUGAUGGAGCGACGCCGCGUGGAGGAUAAGGUCUUCGGAUUGUAAACUCCUGUCAUGCGAGAACAAGGUACUCAGGCUAAUAACCUGAUUGUUUGAUGGUACCGCAAGAGGAAGAGACGGCUAACUCUGUGCCAGCCGCCGCGGUAAUAC